GAGCCGAAGUUGGACGUUUAAUCGACUGAGCCACCCACGCACCCCUGAACAUUGGGUUUUUCUGCUAUAUUUCAAGACUCUGCUCUCUUGGGCCCUGAAGUCACCUUUCUGAUACGGUUACUGAGCAGAUCACCGUGAAUGCUGUGUGGGGCCACGCUGUGUCCUAUGCUGCAGAGAGACCAGCUUUGACCUUCCCAUUUAGACCGUCCCGGUCCCCACUUAACCCUAUAGAACGUUGUCAUCCAAGUCUGCAGACCUAGGGGGUCUCUUCCCACUGAGCACAGACCCCAUCUUUCCCCAGGCGGCCAUUUGGGGACCCGAGGACGAGGUUGCUGUUCCCUGCCUCCCCUGGGAUGACGGUGGAAAGUGGAGAGGUUUCCCAAUCAAGGCAGAUCAAAGCCACCGCAGAUGUGCUCCCAUGGGCUCCAUGAAGGCCGUGCCCAGGACGCCUAGCUCGGAAGCCCAAGAAAGGAAAGAUGCGCAUCUUUCUGUGUCCCUAGACCACUCCAAUCAGCUAAACGAAGGCCAACCACGGACGCUGGCAUCUAGGGCUCUGACUGUCCCGGCUCCCGGGCAGGCGGCAGAGGCACGGGACAGGUCAAGCCACCAGUCGGCAAGGCAGUUACUUUCAGGCGAGAGGUGAAGGUGAACUUGCCCUUGAUGAAGGCUCCAGGAAGCCUUGGGAACCCCGGCUUCUCGGCCAGAUCCACAGGGGAGGACUGUCACUGGGAGGGUGGGGAGAUGAUGGAGGGGCUGGACUGUCCCUUCAGCGUGUCGGUGAUCCGGGACCCCCGGUGGUCCCGACUCAGGUGCACAGGACCUCAUGGCAACCUUGUCAGGGCUGCUUAGAAGGGACCCAGAGCUUGGUGGUCCCCUUCCUUGGGACCCUCGGGUGUUGUGUCCCUCCUGGCUAAGCUUGCUCCACGGAUGGUCAAUAAAGGAGGCGACAGAGGCCAGCAAUGGCUCAUCUGGACGGGAGUCCUCGCAGGGGUGAGGAGGCUGUGCGGUGCAGUGGUUAAAGCUCGGUCAGAGACCAAACGGCUGCCAGAACCCCGGCCCACAACAUCCUGGCCGUGGGACCCGGGAUAAGCGAUUCAAAUGCCUGGACCUCAGAUUUGCCCGCCUGACUGUUCACGAGCAGCGGUUGGUAUUCACUCUGUUGUCAGCUGCUUGGGCGUCUGGGAACCCCCUCCAAGUGGGACCGGGGCUCCCUAACACCGAACGGCGUUCAGCAGCCCUGUGGGCCAAGCGACUCACGGACCCUGCUGGUGACAUCAAAACUAAUCACUCCAGGGCAGACAUCAGAGCUGGAGAGCUGAGGCAGCCAUAGGCCAGAAAUGGCAGAAGGUUCCUUGUUGAUAAAGACCAGGCAUGGACUCUCGCGGGGGCGCGCUGUGUACUUUUCCAAAGGAGGAGGGCUCACCUCGCUCGCCGCUGUGGCCCGCAGGGGACAGGAGCACAAAGAUGCCUUCUGCCCAGGGUAUUGCUUACUUGGCAGGGGACCCACAGCAGCGUGGACCGCAUGUGCCCAAAGCAGCAAAGGCAGUAGUGUUUGACAAGUCGGGCCAGUGCUAUUUCCAAAUUAAAUCACCCAGGCUGGCUGCUGGUAUGCCCUCGUCGCAGAUGGAGGGUGGCCAGCUCUGACUCUUGGCACGCAGAGCCCCAGGAAAUGCCGCCAGACGACAACAAUGGGACCCAAGGUGACAGGCCACGUACUUCUCAUAGGACCGAUGGCACUUGCCAUAUUCUAUUCCCCAAAAGGGGAGACUAGGAUUCCGGAACACCCACCAGGCGCCAUUCGUAGGCAUUGCACUCCUGCCCAACGAGGAAGGAAACAGAGACCAGGCAGAGGUCCUUCGCCCAAACGUACAGAGCUGAGACGUGGGGGGGCAGCAUUGGAACUCAGAUCUGGGUGUGCCAAUGUUCCCUCUCUUUCCUGCAAAGGUCUCCCUCUCUUCCUUUCUUCUUUGUUCAUAGCGGUCAUCCUGGGCUCUAGUCGGUGAGCCGUGCACGUGUACCUGGUAUCCUUAGUGCUGUUUUCUGUAACCAAGGACACUGAAGCUUGGGGACUUCAGUUAACUCAAUACACGCUUACUGAGCACCGAUACGUGCUGGACCCCCUGCGCUGCCGCGAGCGCUGGAUGGGUUCCCCGUGUGUGCCCGCUACUACGGUGCCUGGUGGGGGCGAGGAUGUGCGUGGUCAUUCACGGACCUUGCCCCCAGGCUACACGCUCGUUCGGGGAGCGUUUGUCUUCAGAUGCAGAAUGAGCCAGAGCAUUUCCUCGACUUGGCUGUUUCCCUAACGACUAAUACUAACACGUCAACACGUCGUGAGUUUAUCGUUUUGUGUAAACUCGACGUCUUCUCAUGGGUUAGCUGCUCGCAUCCUCACAAGGCCUCCGGGAGGUACGCGGGCUGGGUGUUGGCACGUGUUAUAGAUGAGGAAGUGAGGAGGGAACAGAAUGAGUGGGGCUGCAGAGGGCAGGCCUCAAACCUGGGGCUGGUCCUGCUCCCGGGCCAGUGUUCCCAAUGAUGACUGUCCUCACUUCCUCUGCCUCCCCUGCACGGGCUCCCUAUUUUGCAAUACGUUGCCAACAAGACCGGAUGCAUUAAGUAAGUGUGAAUGUGUUUCCCCAUUUUUCUUAAUCAAAGACAUAUGCACCUGCCACUCACAGCUCCUGCUCGGGAUCCAGCCCCCCGAGGAAGAGAGGCUUGAGGGCCUCCACUUAGUGGGGGAGGAUUUCCUCCGUCCACUCAACCCCCAGGAUUUUGUGCGCCCACUGAACGCCAGGCGCCGUUAGAGGCGCUUGAGAUACGUCGGUGAACCAAAGCUCCCCAGAGAGUACGUUCUAGCAGUGGGGAGACAGA